UACGGAGGAUGCGAGCGUUAUCCGGAUUUAUUGGGUUUAAAGGGUGCGUAGGCGGACGCUUAAGUCAGCGGUAAAAUUGCGGGGCUCGACCUCGUCGAGCCGUUGAAACUGGGUGCCUUGAGUGGGCGAGAAGUACGCGGAAUGCGUGGUGUAGCGGUGAAAUGCAUAGAUAUCACGCAGAACUCCGAUUGCGAAGGCAGCGUACCGGCGCCCAACUGACGCUGAAGCACGAAGGCGUGGGUAUCGAACAGG
rnacentral:rRNA from 1 species